rnacentral:rRNA from 1 species
AUUGAACGCUGGCGGCAGGCUUAACACAUGCAAGUCGAGCGGAUGAAAGUAGCUUGCUACUGGAUUCAGCGGCGGACGGGUGAGUAAUGCUUAGGAAUCUGCCUAUUAGUGGGGGACAACGUUCCGAAAGGAGCGCUAAUACCGCAUACGUCCUACGGGAGAAAGCAGGGGACCUUCGGGCCUUGCGCUAAUAGAUGAGCCUAAGUCGGAUUAGCUAGUUGGUAGGGUAAAGGCCUACCAAGGCGACGAUCUGUAGCGGGUCUGAGAGGAUGAUCCGCCACACUGGGACUGAGACACGGCCCAGACUCCUACGGGAGGCAGCAGUGGGGAAUAUUGGACAAUGGGGGGAACCCUGAUCCAGCCAUGCCGCGUGUGUGAAGAAGGCCUUUUGGUUGUAAAGCACUUUAAGCGAGGAGGAGGCUACCUAGAUUAAUACUUUAGGAUAGUGGACGUUACUCGCAGAAUAAGCACCGGCUAACUCUGUGCCAGCAGCCGCGGUAAUACAGAGGGUGCGAGCGUUAAUCGGAUUUACUGGGCGUAAAGCGUGCGUAGGCGGCCAAUUAAGUCAAAUGUGAAAUCCCCGAGCUUAACUUGGGAAUUGCAUUCGAUACUGGUUGGCUAGAGUAUGGGAGAGGAUGGUAGAAUUCCAGGUGUAGCGGUGAAAUGCGUAGAGAUCUGGAGGAAUACCGAUGGCGAAGGCAGCCAUCUGGCCUAAUACUGACGCUGAUGUACGAAAGCAUGGGGAGCAA